AACGAACGCUGGCGGCAGGCCUAAUACAUGCAAGUCGAACGCCCCGCAAGGGGAGUAGCGCACGGGUGCGUAACACGUGGGAAUGUACCCUCUGGUAAGGAAUAACGUCUGGAAACGGGCACUAAUACCUUAUAAUAUCUCCGGAUCAAAGAUUUAUCGCCAGAGGAUCAGCCCGCGCCUGAUUAGGUAGUUGGUGAGGUAAAGGCUCACCAAGCCGACGAUCAGUAGCUGGUCUGAGAGGAUGAUCAGCCACACUGGGACUGAGACACGGCCCAGACUCCUACGGGAGGCAGCAGUGAGGAAUAUUGGACAAUGGAGGAAACUCUGAUCCAGCCAUGCCGCGUGAGUGAAGAAGGCCUUAGGGUUGUAAAGCUCUUUCAAUAGUAAAGAUAAUGACGGUAACUAUAGAAGAAGCCCCGGCUAAAUUCGUGCCAGCAGCCGCGGUAAUACGAAUGGGGCAAGCGUUGUUCGGAAUCACUGGGCUUAAAGCGUGCGUAGGCGGUUAUGAAAGUCAGAAGUGAAAGCCCAGGGCUCAACCCUGGAACUGCUUUUGAAACUCCAUAACUAGAAUCCGGGAGGGGUCAGUAGAAUUCCUAGUGUAGAGGUGAAAUUCGCAGAUAUUCGGAGGAACACCAGUGGCGAAGGCGGCCAACUGGACAGGUACUGACGCUGAGGUACGAAAGCGUGGGGAGCAAACGGGAUUAGAUACCCCGGUAGUCCACGCCGUAAACGAUGUGUGCUAGUUGUUGGGGGUCAUAGACCUUCAGUGACGAAGCUAACGCGCUAAGCACACCGCCUGGGGAGUACGGUCGCAAGAUUAAAACUCAAAGGAAUUGACGGGGACCCGCACAAGCGGUGGAGCAUGUUGUUUAAUUCGAAGCAACGCGAAGAACCUUACCUACCCUUAACUAUCCGGUUGGGAGGCACAGAGAUGAGCCUCUUCAUUUAGUUGGACUAGAUACAGGUGCUGCAUGGCUGUCGUCAGCUCGUGUCGUGAGAUGUUGGGUUAAGUCCCGCAACGAGCGCAACCCUUAUCGUCUGUUGCCAUCAGGUUAUGCUGGGCACUCUGGCGAGACUGCCGGUGAUAAGCCGGAGGAAGGCGGGGACGACGUCAAGUCAUCAUGGCCCUUAUGUGUAGGGCUGGAAACGUGCUACAAUGGCAAUGACAGUGGGCAGCGAGGCAGUGAUGCCAAGCAAAUCCCUAAAAGCCAUCUCAGUUCAGACUGUACUCUGCAACUCGAGUACAUGAAGUUGGAAUCGCUAGUAAUCGUGGAUCAGCAUGCCACGGUGAAUACGUUCCCGGGUCU
rnacentral:rRNA from 1 species